AGAUGGAUCAUUAACACAUCCUUAUUUACCUAACACACAUUUUAUUUUUAAAACCUCAGCGAUGGAUAUCUCGGCUCUUGUAACGAUGAAGAACGCAGCCAACUGCGAAAAGCACUGCGAAUUGCAGAACACCGUGAGUCAGUAGAUUUUUGAACGCAACCGGCGCCCUCUGGGCAUGUUUGCUUCAGUGCCUCCUUUGCUAACAGCUGCGAGUGCAGAGCUCUCGCUAAGUUCUCCUAUCCAGGAUCUGGCAGGUUGGAUCUGGGAUCAAAGAGUGCCUGAAGUCAAGCAAGAUUACCCGCUGAAUUUAAGCAUAUUACUAAGCGGAGGAAAAGAAACUAACAAGGAUUGCCUUAGUAACGGCGAGUGAACCGGCAUCAGCCCAGACUGGAAAUCGCUUCGGCGAAUUGUACAGUUCAGACAUGGACCCUACACAACGGCGCAGGUGUAACUCAGUUGGAACGCUGGACCGUAGAGGGUGAUAGUCCCGUGCCACGUGUGCCAAGUGAUGGGUCGUGUUCAACGAGUCGGGUAGCUUGGGAUUGCUGCCCUAAUUGGGAGGUAGACUUCUUCUAAGGCUAAAUACUCACAAGAGACCGAUAGCGAACAAGUACUGUGAAGGAAAGAUGAAAAGAACUUUGAAAAAAGGGUUAAAAUACUUGAAAUCGCUGAGGAGGAAGCAUUGAGCUCUGCAGCGCCGGCAGUGCAACUGAGGAUACGUCCUUAGGGGAGCUGACGGCACAACUCAGUCUGCGUUCUCGUAUUGCGCCUGAAAGCUGUUAGCUCACAGAUCCAAUACAAAGGAUACAGGCUGAGUCGCGGUGCCCACUGACCCGUCUUGAAACACGGACCAAGGAGUCUAACAUGCGUGCAAGUAGUAGGGUGUAAAACCACACUGCGCAACGAAAGUGAGCCUUGCCAAACUAGCAGCAAGGGCCUCGUCAGAGAGCUCAGCACUUAUGUUGGGACCCGAAAGAUGGUGAACUAUGCUUGGGAAAGGCGAAGCCAGGGGAAACUCUGGUGGAGGCUUGUAGAGAUUCUGACGUGCAAAUCGUUCUUCUAACCUGAGUAUAGGGGCGAAAGACUAAUCGAACCAUCUAGUAGCUGGUUCCCUC
rnacentral:misc_RNA from 1 species